rnacentral:rRNA from 1 species
GCGAGUGAAGAGGGAUCAGCCCAAAUUUGUAAUCUGGCUCUUUCAGAGUCUGAGUUGUAAUUUUAAGAACUGUUUUCUGCUCUGGACCAUGUACAAGUCUGUUGAAAUGCAGCAUCAUUGAGGGUGAGAAUCCUGUUCAUGAUAUGGACUACCAGGGCUUUAUGAUACAGUCUCUAAGAGUCGAGUUGUUUGGGAAUGCAGCUCAAAGUGGGUGGUAAAUUCCAUCUAAGGCUAAAUAUUGGUGAGAGACCGAUAGCAAACAAGUACCGUGAGGGAAAGAUGAAAAGAACUUUGGAAAGAGAGUUAACAGUACGUGAAAUUGUUAAAAGGGAAACAGUUGAAGUUAGACUUGUUGUUGUUGGUUCAGCUCUUUAAGGGUGUUUUCUGAUGAUUAACAAACCAACAUCAAUCUUUGGGUGUUGGAUAAGGGUCAUUGAAAUGUAGCAGUUUUGGCUGUGUUAUAGUCUUUGACUUGGAUAUGAUGCCUGGGAUUGAGGAAUGCAGUAAGCCAUUUAUUUGGUGGGACAAUUUAUUGUUCUUCUUACUGAGGAUGUUGGUGCAAUAGCUUUAAUUGACCCGU